rnacentral:rRNA from 1 species
AUUGAACGCUGGCGGAAUGCUUUACACAUGCAAGUCGAACGGCAGCACGGGUGCUUGCACCUGGUGGCGAGUGGCGAACGGGUGAGUAAUACAUCGGAACGUACCCAGUCGUGGGGGAUAACGUAGCGAAAGUUACGCUAAUACCGCAUACGUCCUGAGGGAGAAAGCGGGGGACCGUAAGGCCUCGCGCGAUUGGAGCGGCCGAUGGCGGAUUAGCUAGUUGGUGGGGUAAAGGCCUACCAAGGCGACGAUCCGUAGCGGGUCUGAGAGGACGGCCCGCCACACUGGAACUGAGACACGGUCCAGACUCCUACGGGAGGCAGCAGUGGGGAAUUUUGGACAAUGGGCGAAAGCCUGAUCCAGCCAUGCCGCGUGUGUGAAGAAGGUCUUCGGAUUGUAAAGCACUUUAAGUUGGGAGGAAGGGCAGUAAGUUAAUACCUUGCUGUCUUGACGUUACCGACAGAAUAAGCACCGGCUAACUUCGUGCCAGCAGCCGCAGUAAUAC